UACGUAGGGGGCAAGCGUUGUCCGGAAUCAUUGGGCGUAAAGAGCGUGUAGGCGGCCCGAUAAGUCCGCUGUGAAAGUCCAGGGCUCAACCCUGGAAUGCCAGUGGAAACUGUCGGGCUAGAGUCCGGAAGAGGCGAGUGGAAUCCUGGUGUAGCGGUGAAAUGCGCAGAGUAUCAGGAGGAACACCGAUGGCGAAGGCAGCUCGCUGGGACGGUACUGACGCUGAGACGCGAAAGCGUGGGGAGCAAACAGG
rnacentral:rRNA from 1 species